GUAGGUGGCAAGCGUUGUCCGGAAUUAUUGGGCGUAAAGCGCGCGCAGGCGGUUCUUUAAGUCUGAUGUGAAAGCCCACGGCUCAGCCGUGGAGGGCCAUUGGAAACUGGAGAACUUGAGUACAGAAGAGGAAAGCGGAAUUCCACGUGUAGCGGUGAAAUGCGUAGAGAUGUGGAGGAACACCAGUGGCGAAGGCGGCUUUCUGGUCUGUAACUGACGCUGAGGCGCGAAAGCGUGGGGGAGCAAACAGGAUUAGAUACCCUGGUAGUCCACGCCGUAAACGAUGAGUGCUAAGUGUUAGGGGGUUUCCGCCCCUUAGUGCUGCAGCUAACGCAUUAAGCACUCCGCCUGGGAGUACGGCCGCAAGGCUG
rnacentral:rRNA from 1 species